GAUGAACGCUGGCGGCGUGCCUAAUACAUGCAAGUCGAGCGAACGGACGAGAAGCUUGCUUCUCUGAUGUUAGCGGCGGACGGGUGAGUAACACGUGGAUAACCUACCUAUAAGACUGGGAUAACUUCGGGAAACCGGAGCUAAUACCGGAUAAUAUUUUGAACCGCAUGGUUCAAAAGUGAAAGACGGUCUUGCUGUCACUUAUAGAUGGAUCCGCGCUGCAUUAGCUAGUUGGUAAGGUAACGGCUUACCAAGGCAACGAUGCAUAGCCGACCUGAGAGGGUGAUCGGCCACACUGGAACUGAGACACGGUCCAGACUCCUACGGGAGGCAGCAGUAGGGAAUCUUCCGCAAUGGGCGAAAGCAUGACGGAGCAAGGCCGCGUGAGUGAUGAAGGUCUUCGGAUCGUAAAACUCUGUUAUUAGGGAAGAACAUAUGUGUAAGUAACUGUGCACAUCUUGACGGUACCUAAUCAGAAAGCCACGGCUAACUACGUG
rnacentral:rRNA from 1 species